UUGCAGUGAACAAGCAAGAAGAGGGCUGUAAUCUGAACCUAGUGAUUCCAAUUAAGGAAUUCAAUUUCCUAUCUCCCAAAUAAUUUACACACAGUAUUGGGUAAAAAUAUUGACUUUUCCAUUUGAUUGCUAUCUCACAUGGCAAAGAAGCCCCAAGUUUGCUGUUCGAAUUGAAUAAGAAAAAGAAAUUGUGUCUUUCUAUUGAGCUGUGCUCACGGACUGCAUGCAAUAAGUGUCGUCACAAUUUAUAAACAAAUGCCUUUUAAUUUGGCACUUUUAAUGAUCAAUUCAAAAUGACUCAAUAACUGAACUGCUUUAAUCAAUCGGACAAAUCAUUCACUGAAUACGUCAGAGCACUUACCAAGUUACUAUAUAGUUACCAUUAUUUCCAUACCCAGUGAUGGAAUAUUUUAAUUGAUAAAUGAAAUAUUUCAUAUAUGUACAGUGUGGUGUGUGUCUCUGUGUGAGCUAAAUCUGACAAAACCUCCCUUUGGAGAAGGCAAAUGCUGUUUUACAAUAGUAAAAAAAAAAAAAAAAAAAAUAAAAUACUUUUUUAUAAUUUACACAGCAAUAGUUAAAGGAGUGUUUGCUUCAUAUGUAACCAGCUGUAAAUGAAAAAUAGUCAAAUUAAUUGAAGUCAAACUGAAUUGAAAGUAGAAUUGAAUCAAGAGCUUGUGAAUCUGAAUCAAAUCAGGACGUGUGCAUACCCGGCACUAUUAAAAAAAGCAUGGGAUCAGAAUGAAUAAUGUGAAUAUCAUAAAAGUAAGAAGCAAAGUGUGGCUAAAUUUAUACGUGCUCACAUCUGUAUUUUUUUUACAUAUAUGGAUGUGGCAAAAGGCAAGGGCUGGAUAAUAUUCUCUCCAGAUGUAUUCCAUCUCAGGAAAUCUCCUCUCCCCUGACCCAACUCCCUCCUCUGCCUCUGAUGUCGUAGGCCAUAUAAACGCCUCCUCUCAUAAAUAUUAUUUCAAAAUGGGAUUUAAUAACCAGCCCAUGACGCAUUCUCCCCUCUUGAGAUCCUUCAGGGGACAUCAGAAAACACCAUGGGGGGAAGAAGCACAGAAAAGCCAGAGAGUAAGCUCCAGAAAUAUCUUACAAACUAAGGACGUGUGGUUUGAGAUCCAUCCAGUUCAGAACAACACUCCUCAUCAGCAACUCUAAAGCCUCUAGCUGAAUCCAGAAUUAUUCAAGGUGAAGACAGGUAAGAUGUUUAGAAUUAGCUGCAGGUAACUAUGGAUUAAAUACAGACAUACUCAUAUAUCAUUUUCUCCCUCAGGGCUGAGGUGUGUGUACAUUUUCUACCUGCAGCUCAGGUAAGCUUCCUGAUUGACUAAUACUUGCUGGAAGUCUUGAGGGUUUUGCUAAUGAAAGCGGUAUUUCAUAUAUAUGCAUCAAAACUUUUCUCUUUAUGACAGGAUGACUGCUGCAGGUUAGUGGUUCUCCAGUAGGAUCCUUCAAUAUGUCAUGCAAGGAACCCCAAAUAGUAACCUUAAUAUAGUCAAAUCAAGUCUCCUCCAUUUUUUAUAUAACUUUAUACAAUAAUAUCGCUUCAAAGCAGCUUCACAAAAGUAACAGAAUUAAUCUUCAAAUGUUGAUUCAGUUCAGUUCAAUAACUGUUGUUGUUGCAAAUUGUGUCAAUUAUGAAUGAAUUUGAUUCAGCUAUAAAGCAGCUCCACAGUAGACAAUAGGGUUAAUAUUUAGUGAGAGUAGUGUCAGUGCAGUCAAUCAAUAUUUAAUUUUAAUAUUAGGUAUCUUUUAACCUCACUAGCAAGACAAAGGCAACAGUGGCAGGGAACCAACAGCUCCACAGUAGACAAUAGGGUUAAUAUUUAGUGAGAGUAGUGUCAGUGCAGUCAAAUCAAUAUUUAAUUUUAAUAUUAGGAUCUUUUAAACCUCAACUAGCAAGACAAAGGCAACAGUGGCAGGGAACCCAAAUUCAAUCUGGUUACAAAAAUGGAGAGAAAAAAUAUUAAAAGUUUCCCUAAAUCAGCAUCCAUAAAUUAAUCACAGGGUGUUAUUGCAUAGAUGUGAUUAUAGGAGAGUCUUAUCUGUUUGACUUGAGCUUUUAUAUGCAAUCAACUCAAAGUGCUGUAAAAGUGGUUCGUCCUAUUUUCCUCGAGGAGCAAAGUCCCAGAUCGUGAGUCAGACAGGAAAUUGUUUAUAUGCACUGAUAUUCGCUCUGAGCUCAGUCGUCCUCGUCUCAUGCCUGUCUGUUGAUUUGUGAGAGCCAAGUCACAGUGCGAUGACUGUGUGGUGUUAGGUUUCUUUCCAGUCCCUGGAGUAUGCGAAAAAUGAAGCGCACAUGCAGCACAAGUCCAGAAGAACAUCCAAACAGCCUCAGAGUUGUAUAAACAUGAAACGCAGAAAAGAUGGAAGAAGUAUCUGAAUGAAGUCUGAAUGUGGAUUCAAAUAAACAUCUGUGGAGUGGUCCAGACUCAGUGUCUUUGGCUCUCUCUGAUGGUUUUUACCACCGAAGUGUUGCAAAAGGCUGUGGCCAGCGCUGUGGCCUUCACAUGGUGACUGUAUCUUGUUGUUCAAGAGUUGAGAGAGAGAGCACUUCUACUCUUUGAGUUAAAUUUUUUUUGUGUGUAUGAAUUAUCUGUUGACAGAUGCCUGAGUGUACUUGCGGAAAAAACGUCUUCUAAAAUUAAAAAUGUGUCCAUCGCUCUUGACUGUGGUUUACGGAAGAGGAUUAGGGCCAAGCAAUAAAUAAAAAAAAUAAAACCAUCUCGAGAUUAAUGUCAUUAUAUUGCGAGAUUAAACUCGUUAAAUUUCGAGAAAAAAAAGUCGAAAUACAAUCUUGAGAAUAAACUCAUGAAAUAUCGUCGAAAUACAGUCUUGAGAAUAAACUCAUUAAAUUUCGAGAAUAAAGUCGUGUUUACGAGUAAAAAAACUCGUUAAAUUUCGAGAAAAAAAAGUCGAAAUACAAUCUUGAGAAUAAACUCAUUUAAUUUCGAGAAUAAAGUUGUUGUGUUUCGAGAAAAAAAGUCGAAAUGAAAUGUAGAGAAUAACGCAUUCGAUCAGUGUUCAUUGUAUAGUCUAUAUCUUUCAGUAACAAAGAAAUACUAUCAACUUUAACUAAUUAUGACACAAUAAUAAUUAGCACACGAACUUUAAAGAGAAUUUGCAAGCGGCUAGGUCUUUUUAGAAGAAAAAAUCAGUCCAAUUUGCGCAAUGUAGGCUACUCGCUUUUGUCCAACAUGAAAUGAGAACCAGAGGACAAAUGCAAGGUUAUCGCUGGCUUCACCCAAAUGCACUCUGGCACUUGGACAUCUAUGAUAAAUUAAAACCGUACGGCAUUGCCAUUAAUGGCGUGUAAUGUAAUGAGAUUAUUCUCAAAGAAAUACUAUCAACUUUAACUAAUUAUGACACAAUAAUAAUUAGCACACGAACUUUAAAGAGAAUUUGCAAGCGGCUAGGUCUUUUUAGUAAGAAAAAAUACAGUCCAAUUUGCGCAAUGUAGGCUACUCGCUUUUGUCCAACAUGAAAUGAGAACCAGAGGACAAAUGCAAGGUUAUCGCUGGCUUCACCCAAAUGCACUCUGGCACUUGGACAUCUAUGAUAAAUUAAAACCGUACGGCAUUGCCAUUAAUGGCGUGUAAUGUAAUGAGAUUAUUCUCAAGAUUGUAUUUCGACUUUUUUUCUCGAAAUUUAACGAGUUUUUUUCUCGAAACACAACAACUUUAUUCUCGAUAUUUAAUGAGUUUAUUCUCAAGAUUGUAUUUCGACUUUUUUUCUCGAAAUUUAACGUUUCGUACUUUUUUUCUACGAAAUUUAACGAGUUUAAUCUACGAAACACUAACGUACUUUUUCUCGAUAUUUAAUGAGUUUAUUCUCAAGAUUGUAUUUCGACUUUUUUUCUCGAAAUUUAAUCUCGCAAUAUAAUGACUUUAAUCUCAAGAUGAUUUUUAAUUAUUGCUUGGCCCUAAUCCUCUUCCGUAGUGGUUGGUAUGUGACUGUCAAGCAAGUAUUUUCACCUUGUCAGUUACCUGACAAAAUAAUAAUUAGUCAUGUCUGAGUUCAACCAAAGCUGCCUUUAGAUUUUUAGCUCUCCUCCAAAAUCUAGUGACCUACCUCAUUGCCUGCCUAAUAAUUAUUAUUAUUUUUUUUAAUUUUUUUUACAAAUAUCACUCCCUGCAUGAAGCAAAUCAGAGACGAUUAACAGAGACAAAUAUUGUCUUAAAAAGGCAUAAAUAGUCCGUUUUAAACUGACUAAAAUGUUGAAGUUUUUC
rnacentral:lncRNA from 1 species